rnacentral:rRNA from 1 species
GCAAAGGUAGCAUAAUAAUUUGUCUCUUAAUUAGAGACUUGUAUGAAAGGACAAACUUUUUUCUACUGCUUCUAUUGUAUACAUUAAAAAUUCUUAAUAGACGAAGAAGUCUAAAUAUAAAAGAAGGACCAAAAGACCCUAUAGAGCUUCAUAAUAAAACUAGAAAAUAACUAGGAAAUUUUUUCGUUGGGGCGACGUAGACUACUCACUCUUUUAAACUUCUACUACAGGUUUUUUAAUUAACUCUUAUUAAAUAUAAAAGCUACCUUAGGGAUAACAGUCUUAUUUCUCUUUAUAGCUCACAUUAUCAGAGAAGCUUGGCAC